UGAAAUGGCAGCAGCUGGGAUAGGCUCCACCCCCGCCCCCCACCGCCCACAUGGAUGAAUGGAUGGAUGGAAAUGGCAGCAGUUUGCAUAGUUUGGUGCACACAAGAUCCAGAAAGCUCAUGGAGGAGAGGAAAUGCACACUGAGCUUGCGAUUUACUCCCAGACAGUGGGAUAGCAGCGAUAUGGAUUUUUCAGCACUGUCCUCAUGAAACAUGACUGUCCAGCACAGCACCAGGAACAACCAAACCAGAGACAUUUAAGACACUGGGCAUACUUUAACAUUUGUCAGGCCAUCACACUACUGAUGACUAUGACUAUGUUUUUACCAUUGCGAUUUUAGGAGAAAUGUUUAUUUGAAAAAUAUGUGUAGAAUUAAAUUUUGAGGGAAAUAGAUGAAACCUUUGAAAUGCUUAAUGUU